rnacentral:rRNA from 1 species
CUACGGGUGGCUGCAGUGGGGAAUAUUGCACAAUGGAGGAAACUCUGAUGCAGCAACGCCGCGUGGAGGAUGACACUUUUCGGAGCGUAAACUCCUUUUAUAUAGGAAGAAGAUGACGGUACUAUAUGAAUAAGCGCCGGCUAACUCCGUGCCAGCAGCCGCGGUAAUGACGGAGGGCGCAAGCGUUACUCGGAAUCACUGGGCGUAAAGAGGGUGUAGGCGGAUUAAAAAGUCAGAAGUGAAAUCCUAUAGCUUAACUAUAGAACUGCUUCUGAAACUCUUAAUCUAGAAUAUGGGAGAGGUAGAUGGAAUUUCUGGUGUAGGGGUAAAAUCCGUAGAGAUCAGAAGGAAUACCGAUUGCGAAGGCGAUCUACUAGAACAUUAUUGACGCUGAGACGCGAAAGCGUGGGGAGCAAACAGGAUUAGAUACCCUAGUAGUC